rnacentral:misc_RNA from 1 species
UGAUAAAUAAAACAGGAGUAUCUUAUUUGCAUAACCAUAUAUUCGUUCCAUUUCUCAGCAUGAGAUUGACAACUUUCCCCCUGAAAGCUUUUACAGCACCACCUAAAUUUGGAAUAUAAUGUUGGCAUAACAACCAAAUUAUCAGUAUUCUUUAUUACAAUACAAAUAAGAUACUCCUGUUUUAUUUAUCACAUAGAUAGACAGGAAGCAAUUCUUGUUCUUUUGCCAGAAAAUUAUACAUUUUAGCUUAUAAUUUUAGGCGGAGUGUUUGCAAUCCUCCAGUUAUAUUUAGCUAAUACAGGCAUUUCUCUUGAGCCACUAACUUCAUUAACGUGCACGGCAUCUGAAAUUUCUUUUAAAUCCUCUUCUGCAAGCUUUACUGUCAAGGAUCCAAUAUUAUUAUCGAGGUUCUUAACUUUGGUUGUUCCAGGAAUUGGGACUAUGUCAUUCCCUUGAUGGAGAAGCCACGCCAGAGCUAACUGAGGAGGGGUGCAGCCAUGCUUUGCAGCCAAGUUCGCAAGUCGGGUAUAUAGGAUUUUGUUCUUCUCUAUAUUCUCUUGUUUGAAUCUUGGAUGUGCCUGUGCCACGACAUUCUCACUGGGUAAGCUUUCCACGACUGCCUUCCCAGCAAAAAACCCAAUACCAAGAGGACUAUACGCUACUAUCCCAAUACCAAGUUCUCGGCAAAGGGGAAUUAUCUCAUCUUCAAUAUCACGAGUCCACAGAGAAUACUCCAUCUGUAGGGCAGUGAUGGGAUGAAUUGCAUGGGCUCUCCUUAUUGUGUCUGGACUUGCUUCUGAUAAACCAAUGUACUUUAUCUUUCCUUCAUCUACCAGCUUCUUAAGCUCUCCCAUAGUAUCCUCUAUUGGCACUGAAGUAUCCACACGGUGCUGAUAAUACAGAUCAAUGUAGUCAACGUCAAGUCGUUUGAGACUAGCUUCACAGCAUUUCCUAACAUAUUCAGGGCUGCCCUUAACCUCAAAUUGCAGAGCAUCCUCUGACGCCACGAACCCAAAUUUUGUCGCCAAUUGAACUUUUUCGCGAGGAAGCUGCUUCAGGGCCUUGCCAAGCAUAAUCUCAUUAUCAUGUUUUUGACCAUAGAUAUCGGCUGUAUCAAAGAAGGUGACACCUCUAGAAAAAGCCUGCUUUAUGACAGAACAGCCAUCUUCAUGGGAGAGAGGAGCAUUCAGCAGUCCAGAAAGUCCAGCGCAUCCUAAUCCCAGCUUAGAAACCUCCGGUCCAUGUUUCCCAAGUUUCACUCUUGGAAUUUGAUACUGUUGCUCUUCCAUUUUCAAGCUAAGUUAGGGCUUCGCCUUGCAGAUUCUCGAUUUCACUUCAAUAGUAACA